AAAAAAGAAGUUUUAGCUAAGCAAAAUGCAUUUUAAUAUGCAUUUCCCACAGCCCUGAUGUGAGACGCAUCUUCUAAGUGCAGUACAUCAGCUCAGGUCAGCAGUUAGACUCAAUGAUCCUUAUGGGUCUCUUCCAACUUGGCAUAUUCUAUGACCCUAUGAUUCUGUUGCUGAGCUCACAGACCAUGUGCAGCAGCCAUCUGCAGCCUGACCUUCUCCUCCUGCCCCAUUAUGACGUCCACCUGACCUGGAGCAACCCCCCCCAGCCCUACACCUCACAGCCCCAUCACACUGCAUCCCAGUGCACUGCGGUGGAAGGCAAGGGAGGGGCUUCAAAGGCGCUGGUCGCACAAUGGAGUUGGAGUAACUAGCUGCUGACAGAUUUAUAGGCUUCAGUCCAAUUAAAGUGCUGUUUAUUGCUUUUAGAAGGGGCCUGUUUGUUUCUAAUUUUAGAAGUAGGUUAGGGAAGUGACUAGAAUUGUGAGUACGGGACCUGAGAUUUUUCACUAGGGCCGCUGCUGCUAUUAAUCAAUAGGUGUUGUUGAUAAUUAUUUAGCCUGAGAUCUCAACCCACCAUGGCAGAGCAGAAAUUCAGGGCAGCACCCAAACAGCAGUGAAAGGGCUUUGCUUUGUCCUCUGCCCUGCUACAUCUGUUGAUUUUGGUGUGUGUUUGACCAGCCGCUUUCUAAAGAGCUCCCUUUGUCCCCCAUGCAUCUCUUCUGCUCUCUCAAGUUCAUUCAUUUUACGUGCUCCUUUUAAAGAGAAUAAAAAGCAUGCUGGUGUGGAUGAUCGGCCCUAUCUCUGGCCAGCAGUGAUAGGAACCUUGGGCCAGUUGCCAGAAGGAAGUGGAGAAAUAACAAAUUUUGCCUGAGAGAUGAAAUCAGAGCUGGAAUCAGGAUUCCUGUGUCGUGCCCAUAAGUUAGUGCAGUUUUGCUGUGCAGUGGUGGGAAGCCCCUUUGAUGUCAGUUUCCCACUGUCUAGAAAAGCUGCAAUAUAAAGUUACUGUAAAACUUGGUUAUUUGUUUGUGCGGUACUUUGAGAGCCGCUGGUGAAAGGCGCUGGAUAACUGCAUGGUUCCCUGUGGUUUGUAAAACAUGCAUUGAUCACCAUUUACCAGAAGGCAAUGACAGUGGGUAUUUAACAGACAGAGGCUCGACCCAGGCACAACACACUCACAUUUCCAGGUCCUGGGGAAGUUUAUGUCCUGAAUGUGCGUCCAAACCCAGCAUCCGUGCAGAAGGCAGAAGGAAAACCACAUCCCAGCAUGCCAGCCUUGGGAUCAGGAGGUCCCAUCCCCUGCCACUGGAGUUUGACCUGAAACUGGGGCAUCCCACAAGAGCUCAUCUUGGAUGGAGACCGCCAGAGCCCAGUGAGCCUAACCUUUCCUUCCCCUGCUCUGAGCCAUCUGCAGUAAUCCUUUAGCUGUGGACUGAAGACAUAAGAAAUAAACUACAGUAAAAAGAUAAAAGGGAGCAUAAAUCAAUUUCUGCGGUAGCUGAGGCUUGAAGUAUGCCUAAAUAUCACUUAGAUUGCACACUGUUUGGGCAGGGUUCCAUCCUUUUAUUACUUAUCCACGUACAGGAGAUUUCACUGACAAUCUAUUAAAAAUAUAUAUCUCUAUUUUGGCUGAAUCUAGAUUUUUUUUAGCAGAAAACAAGAAUAUUUGAUCUAAAACAGUUUUUUUCCCCCCAAAACUGAUUUUUUUCUUUUCAAAAACAAGUAGAGGAAAGUAGGUUGUUUGAUUUUAAGUUUCAUAACAGCAAUACUUUUCUCCUUCAAGGCAGUCUUUUGUCUAUAGCUAAUUUUUUUUGUCUAUGUCUAACAUACAGCAUCUUCUUAGAAACCUAAGUGCUGUAAGCAGGAUUCUUACAGAAAAAUAGAAGUGUGUUAGGAGGGGAGACUAUAAUUUCACUUUUUUCUUUUAUCCUAACAGACAGCCUCAGUGGGCUAAUAGCCAAGAAGGUAGAAAUAUUAAAGCCCCCUGUACAGAUCACAGCAGAUGGAAAAGAUCUGAGUUGGGCAAAAUGCUCCUUGCUGAAAGUUGCUCUGUUACGUGAAACCAUUUCAGGAGAGGAGAGCACCAGGAAAGGAGCAUCAUGCCUUUCAGACACAUCUUUGUGAUACUUCAAAGGAAUUAUUUGCAGUGUCAGUGAUGUAUAUUGCUUCUAGCACUCUGAAAACCUUCCUUCCCAAAUGAGGGUUGGUCCUGUGGGUCACUCUUAGGAGAGUAUCUAAAAUCAGGCCAUUCUGCUGGGCUCGGAGCAGCAGACAGUACUGUAGUUGGAAGAAGGUUGAGAAUACGUGGGAAUGGAAGCCCCAAGGGGCUUUGGCAGUAUCCCAAGUGGGAUAUUGCUGCCCUGUAAUUCCCAAGUAGUUUGGAAAGAUCUAAUAUGGAGCUGCAGAGCACCAUCUGGGUUUUUGGUAGGGACAAGGUUUCUAGGAACCUCUCACUAGCUGUCAUUUAAAUAGACAGUAGGCAGGAGGAGAGUCACACAGGGGUUUUACAGGUUUAGGUAUCGUUCAGCAUUAUCAAGGCAACUGUAUUACUUCAUGGAAUGAUUGGUCUUGUAUACAUCAGAUGAAUAUUAAUAUUCAUAAACUUCUUCCUAGUAACUCUUAUUAUAGAAUAUGAUGAAAAUAAUAAAUAUGUUGAAGGAGCUUCCAGGACGUCAUUUGGGCUCCACCACUGACUCAUUUUGCAACCUUGAGUGAGUCUCUUAAUGCCAGGUACCUCCUGUUUCCUCUCUGAUGAGUUAACAAAUGCAAAAAGACUAAGAAAAAGGAGAAAGCAGUUACAUUUGUAGAUAAUUGGAGCUUAUUUUCAGGCCAGUUGAUGCCAAUAGCCCACAGCCAAUAGGUCAUGUAUAGAAUCAUAGAAUUGUUUAGGUUGGAAAAGACCUCUAAGAUCAUCUAGUCCAAUUGUCCUUCUACCACCAGUACUGCCCACCCUACCAUGUCCCUUAGUACCACAUCUACACAUCAUCUCCAGGGGCAGAGACUCCACCACCUCCCUGGGCAGCCUUUUCUCUAGUGUUCAAUCACUCCUUUGGAGAAGAUUUUCCUAAUAUCCAACCUGAAGGGAGAAUUUGAUAGAAUCCUCUCUUCUGAGAGCAUCAGAAAUGUAAAAAAAAACAAAACAAAACACACACCUAAGUUAUGCUCAAAGUCUAAUUAUAUGGUGGGCUAUAUUUUACAGACACAUCCUUGACAUGGGCUGAGGUCCCAAAAUUGAAUACCAGAGGCUGCUGACACACUGAGCCAUUGGAGUAAUCAUAUUUUAAGUAAAAUACAGACUUUUGUCAGUGCUUAUAAAUAGUGGGACUAGGAAUACAAGAGUUCCAGCUCAUAGAAAGCAACUUGAUACAUGGCUCAUACCUCGAGCUUUGUUGAGCAUAAUCUCAAUAUGGCACAAGUCUGCUGAUAAGUAAUUGCGUGUAUAGUUGUGAGUGCCUGUAAAGCUGUAGGAGAAUUGCUAAGUCACAGCCUGAACCAAUGAUUGAGCACCUGGUUGGUGAAGGGACACAGCCAGCCCCACGAGCACAGGUGAAAACAUGUUCCACCCCUCUCUGAGCCCCAUUUAAGGACUGGCUGCCAUAGGCGAAGGUUCUUUACCAGGAGAUUCCUUCCUUUGGAAUGUUUAGUUGGCCCUGAUCUUUGGUGUGGGUUCUUGGUAAGACAUCCCAGUAUCACAUCUCUAAUGGAGAAUUAAUAUUCCUGUAGUGUCUCCCUGUCUUGGAACACCAAUACUGAAACCUCGGAACUGUCAUCUGGAACUGCAGGAUACCAACUGCAUUUCUCUGCUCCUGAGACUUGGGGACAGCCCUCAGGGCUGUGACAAAGUAGACACAACUGAGGUGACCACCUGAUCUUUAAUCUUCUUGAUUUCUUGUUGACAUGAAAAGUCUGUCUUUUGUUUCCCACACUGUUGGAGGAUGGUAGCAAAAACAUUAAUGGAUGUGGAUCAAUAUCACUCACAGGCUGGGAGAGGAGGAAAAAUAUCCUACCCUUCACUACUGAAGUUUAAUACCAACUUGCUGACCAAUCCAUGGCACUCAUAUUCCUGUCAGCAGAUGUGGAUUUUCCAGCAGCAAAUAAGCCACUAAUGGUACAAAGACUUUCUCGAUAUGGUGUAACACUUGACCAACCCAGGUCAAAAAAUGAAGUCAACUCAUGCAGUUGAAGUAUCACAUCAGGCCAAAGAGCUUUGUCUUUGUCAUCUAGCAAGGACUGUGUAUGGGGGACUCUUCUGUGUAUGUGUUACAAACUAUUGUUGGUCACUUUAACAGAGUAAGAAACCAGAAACAUCAAGGAGGUCAAUACGAACUGCUGUGAGCCUUCAAAUGCAGAGGUCAAGCAUACAAUGAAAACAAAGCAAAGUUGUAAUGCUAGUUGCAAGCUGCGUGGAUAAUCAAUAGCAGAAUGUGAUUCCUUUUAAUCGGGGGUUACUUUAGGUGGCACCAGAGGGAACAACAACAACAACAAAACAAAAAAACCCUGGAAGAAUAAAUUUGCUAAUUGGAAGUUGAAAUUCAUGGCUGAUAGCAGGCUCCCAGGAAAGAAGUAGAUUGCAUGCAGAAAGAGUAAUGUUCAGCGACAAGUUCACAGCAGUUAGCUCACCAGUGAGAUAGAAGUUCAUACUAAGGUAAUUCUUGUGAAUUCUUUUACAUGCUCAAAGCAGAACAAGGAUAUUGAAGUGCCCUAUCUGGAGGACUCUCUACAUGACACAGCAUUCAUGAAUGAAAGCUCCCCAGUCUCAACUUCUGAAUCGAACCAACAGCUAUCCUAGGGGUAGUAAGAUAGAAAGCUAAUGAAUAGAGUGAUGCAAAAAAUCUGUAAAGCAAUAUUGGAAGGAUGCUGCACUGAAGGAAAACAAGGAAGCUGCAAAAGUUACAGGAAACUCAUUUUCUGAGGACAAAAUGCAAAAAUAUUCUACAGGAAUGUUGUCCUUAUGGUCUGAAAGCAAAUUUGAGUGAUUUGGGUAUGGGAAACUGAGGGGUGGGCAGGUGCUCUUUUUCCUCCCAUAUCUAUAGAUAUUGAGCUUUUCUGCUGUUUCGGGGCUGAGAUUUCCAAAUACUUUCAUCAAGAUUUCGUGCUGCUCAAAGCUACUGUUCUGGUCAGAAAGACAACGGCACCUCCGCUGCAGAGCCCAGAACUCCACUUAAAAUAUCAUGAUACAGAGUUUAUGAAUCUGCAGAUAGUCCAGAAAUUAGGCCCCUUCCAGCUGUUCCCAUUGAUGUGAUGAGAAAGUAGGACAUUCUUUUGCAUUCCUUAAGCACCUACUGUAUAUUUGUUGAGUAGAAUUUAAAAAGAGCUCUCCAGCCCUAUAAAUGAUGAUGGCUGUCAAGCAGCCUUGCUAGCAUAUUGACUACCUACAGUGUGAAGUGGGAGUCUUCCUAAUCCUGCUCCCAGCUCCUCACCUGCAGCAGCCUUUAUGGAACAGGAGAGCCAGGAGCUGGGCUUCUUUCUCUGCAGCUGCAAUAGGACUUUGCUCUGGAUCUCAUCUGCAGCACUUUGUAUUUAGGGACCUUGCUUUAACUUUUUACUUGUUUUUCCUUUCUUUUUUUUCUCCUCUUUUUUUCCCCCCAGCUACACUUCUGUCAAAUCCCAGUUUCCAUAUGAAGGUUUGCACCGAGUUGAGUGAAAGCAAUUAGAUAAUCUAUUUGUAACAAAAUACUUUUAUUUUACUUUAGUAAACUUAGUGCUUCCUUGUAAAAACAAACUCUUUAAUUACUCAGGUGUGACUACUCACCAUAUUAAAUCACCAUACUACCUCAGCAUAAUAAUACAGUUCUUUACAAUUUCAUUUUAGAAUCACUCUUCUUUUGCUGGCAUUUAAUUUUGCACAGGAGUAACACUAUCAUAAAAGAGCCCAGGUGCAAAAAUAUUGUGUUUUUAGUAAUGAUGUACUAUCCAUUACUAUUAAAAACUAGAAAAACUAUCAGCGCUGCUUCAUAUCGACUGGGAUUACUUAGCUUAAAUGUUUAAAAGGAAUCAUUUAAGAGCUCUGUUGCAGCACAGGUGCCUGUGCACCUCUUCUACACCUGGCCAUUUGACACCUGGCCAUAUACUUUCAUAUGUGAGAUUUCAAACUUUCUCCCUGGUAAAUAUAUUUCUUUUAACAUUUCUGCUCAAAAUUGCAAACACAAAGCUUUUGCAGUAGGGAAGAGGAAGGGCAAGAAUGAGUUGCGUGUUUAGUGAAUGCCGUUUUUACAGGUUUGUACCCUUAGUUUUUGGAUGAUGAUUUGCCUUCUUUAGGCUCUUUUAACAGGAGAAAUUACAACUAUAGUAGCUUGCAGUUCUUCUGUCUUCAUUUGCUGUGGUAUUGAUUCUUUAUAAUAGAACUAGAAAGACGUUCAGCUUCACUGAAAUCUAUAGCAAGACGUGCUAGAAUUAAUCUCUCCAACCUUCAGCAGUGCAGUUUAGCAAUCAGGUAACCAGUAGCUAGGUGACUAGGUAUAUAUUUUCACACAUGGAGAAACAUAACCUCGAGGGAAUGAUUCGUGUCAUUCUGAUGUAGGUUUU